AUUGUUUAAAAAUGUAUGACAUCACUUCCUGUUAAAAGUAAACACGCGCUCGUGCUGCAGAACUGUAUAUUACUGGGAAAAGAGGUCUGUCCCAGUGAGCAGUCAUUAAAGAACGGUGUGUGUCUGGGCUUUGAGGAUUGAGCAGGAGCUGCAUGUGAUUCUGGAUGAUGGGAAAUCUUUAGGUAUCAGUAACAGUUUAUCCGCGUGCAGUGUCAGUGCCUAUGAGGCUGUGCAUCACUCUCUUCAGCUGUGUGUGGUAUCCAAAUGUUUUGCUGUUUUCUGACAAACAGCAGGACGGCCUCCCCUGCGCCAUCAUAUCAGCUGCCUCCUUAGAUUGCCUAUUCAUGUUGUCUAUAGGGUGAACAGAUGGACCAUCAAUUUAAUUCUAUCCUCGCCACCAUCAGAGAUUGAUUUUGUACUUGCUUUUAAAUUUGCCAUAAUUAAUUAGAUCAUUACAAGUGUUUUUCAUUGAUCUUCCCAUUUACACCCAAAAUGGAAAGGUAAAUUAGCAUGUGAUCUAUGUUUUCAAUUAACUGACUGAUAUAACACAAUAUUAAUUACCAUAUUGAAUGCCACUAAUAUUAUGAGUAAAAUUCGAAUAAUAAUAAUAAUAAUGAUACUACUACUACUACUGAUAAUAAUAAUAAUAAUAAUAAUAAUAGUAAUAAUAAUAAUAAUUAUUAUUAUUAUUAUUAUUAUUAUGUUUUAUUGCUGUUGUUGCCAUUAUUAUUAUUAUUAUUAUUAUUAUUAUUAUCAGUCAGGCCACAUGUCCUGGUGCUAAUCUAAUUCGCUGAAUGUACAAUGCUUCGGAUUUACAGUGGCUUAUGGAAAGGUAAAUCCACAGAAACUUCACAUAGACGCCAUGAAAAGACUCACUAUAACAUCUUAAAAGUAGUUGUACUGGCCAACUGAACGAGGCUCGCCUAGCACAAAUAGCCUGAACACUCAGGAGAGAGCAUUUAGGAAAGGAGAGAAAGAAACGCGGCACUUACCUGAUCGAGCAGGUCUCUGAGCCAUGCCCUUCCUCUGUCUAAUGGUCCGUACGGGCGGUGCAGCCCACUGGCUGUGUCCGGGCCUGUGCGCUCUCUCCCCGGCUGGGCGCGCUGCCUCUCCCCGCUGCCUGCCACACCAUCUGAGCGAUCAUCCAAAACUAAACGGUUUUAGACGGCAACAACGAAAAGAAGGACAGCGACCUCUGCUUCAGUGCACUAGGGACUGAUAAAGGAGAGAAAUAGCAAUCAAAGCAAAUAAAGCGUUUGAGGUAUGAUAUAAAAAGAAAGAAGAAAACUGGAAGUAAAGCGUGGACUAAGAGGAUAUGCUAAGAGCAGCUCGCAGGGCUUUUGCCCUUGUGGGAGACUGAAAGGUAGGACUAAUAGCAAUGAAUAUUCAUGAUUAUUUCUCCCCUAUGUAGACCUGCGGUGUUUUUUCUUUCUUUCUUUUUUUUUUGCAUUAUAUAUGUUGUAAUGUAUAUUGACAUAUUAUGAGGUGUAAUAAGUUUUGAGAAGUUGGAGUAAGAAAGUUCAAGGCGAGGUGGUGAAGUUAACAGAGCCGUGUUUCUCAUUGGCUGCACCUCGAGGUGAACCUGUGCUCAGUAGGAGGGUCCACUUAACUCUCCCACCUCAUAUAAUAGCGCUGUUAAUGAUAACCACAUCACUCCCUUAUCAACAUCACACAGCUACAAACAUGUUGUGACGGACCUUAGUUUUGAUCUGGCAAAGAAUAGGUUCAGCUUUUCUCUUACAGCUUUUACAGGCUUAUGAAAUAUGAUUUUUUUUUUUUUUUAAAAAAAAGCCUGUAUUAAAUAAUACAAUAAAUUGUUUUUAAUCACAAAGAUUUACCCAAAGUGCUGAUAUGUCCUGGAAGGGUGGUUAGGGUAUACAAUAAUUAUUAUUCUACUUAAAAAAUAAUUCUUCAAGGUGUUCCUGGGAUUGUUAAGGGCUCUUAGCUUCCUAGAAGGGUUCUACACUCUAGAGCUUUUGCCACAGAACCAUUAAGGGUUCCAUCAGAGGGUACUACACUGAAUAUAUUAUUAUUAUUAUUAUUAUUAUUAUUAUUAUUAUUAUUAUUAUUAUUAUUAUUUUAUAUCUACUGUGUGUAUGGAAUCCCAAAAUAUGUCCAGUAAGGCUUAAAUUCAUUUAACAGUUUUAAAUUAAGCCAUAGAUAUGAUCAAGGAACUAUAAUUUCUAUAGUUUUGAUGAUUUUCUAAGUUUAUUCUUUGUUGUUCUUAACUUUAGGGGAUGGUCCUACCUGCUAAAUACCACCUGAAUACCUGCUUGAUAAAGGGAAUUUUGUUCACAUGUACCAACAAGCAUUUAAUAUUGUAAAAUUUUACACUUAAUGUCAACUUGAAAAUCAACUUUAAAAUGUCAUUUAUACGCAUGCGUACUACGUGUCUUUAGUUUUGAUUUGUUUUGGUUGUUUUGCAGGAGGCUCAUAUGAGUGAAUUAGUGAAUGAUUUGAAAAAUAAACUUCUCCUUGGCCAGAAGGGGCACUGUAAUUCACCACUGAGGAUAAAGGGAUAAUUCACUUAGAAUUCCCUGAAACAUGUCGACAGCAGUUGAGGUAGUUUCAUGGCAGGUAAGCGUAUGUCUCAUUGGAUUUCCAUCAAUUGCUCAAAGGUGUGUUUGAAAACAAAGAUGCAUGGUGCACAAAUUAGCCUGAAUGGUAACAUGAUUGCAUAUUAAGAAAUCUAAUUAGUAUUCAAGAGAAUUCAAAGAGAAGAGCUGAACAAUAUUGCAUUAAUGCAUCAGACAGCGAUUUCAUAAGCAUGUUGCCCUUAUGUUCUGUUCAGCACAAAAUCACCCAUUUUUUAAAAAUUUAAAUAAAAAAAAAGUCAUUUUAGAAAAAAUAUAGUUCUCAUAUUUGAAGAUUGCUCUCCAUCCACACAAGCCAUUUCAUGUUUUUAUUUUUUUAAUUUGCUAGCACAUCUCAUAACAUGUUUUUAUAUUAGUUAUUAAUAUGAAUAUAAUUAUAUUCCAUCAAUUGCUCAAAGGUGUGUUUGAAAACAAGGAUGGAUGGUGCACAAAUUAGCCUGAAUGGUAACAUGAUUACAUAUUAAUCUUAUGAUUGAAUAUUAAUAUGAAUAUAGAGUUAAUUUAUAUUAAUAGGAAUAUAUUAAUCUGAAUAUACAAUAUAAUUGAAUAUACAGUAUGUAUAAAAUCUAUCUGUAAAAAUAUUUUCAAUGCCUGCAACAAAAUAAUGUCUUGUGUGUGUCUUGUGUGUGUUAAUGUGUGUGUUUGUAUGAGAGAGAGAGAGAGAGAGAGAGAGAGAGAGAGACUGUGGUCAACAGGUCUCCUGAGGUUCUUCUCCUGGACAAUGAUGUAUUUAAGUCCUCUUAGAGGUCAGAUGGACUUUAUCCAGCACAUCACCUGCAAUCAAUAGCGCUGGUAAACCAGGCUCAACCAAGUGGCUGUGAGAACUCCCCUUAUAAACAAACUCACAGAGAGGCCGGCACGGCCCAUUGCCCUGCUAAAACCGCAGCCAGGGUCCUUACACACACGUGCAUGUUAUGUCACUAUGAGAAAACCCAUUGAGGAAGAAAGUGUCAGAAAAUAAGAAGUAAAUUGACAGAUGUGUGAAUGUGUCUAUGAAGGCUAGUGGGUCGCUGCAGAGUGAAGAAAAGCAGAAAACACAGAAACCUACUGGAGUGCGGGACUAGUGUGUUACACUGGACAUCUGUAACUAUGUUGCCACAUUGUGUCAUGAUUGGUCUUGCUCAGGAUUCAGGAUGCUCAGGACUUACUGCACAACAGAUGCAACGUGUUAAUUAAAAAGCUAAUAAACACGUUUGACAAGAUUUGUAGCAUUAUACGCUUUUAUCUGAUCUCAGUUGUCAUGGACGGAAAAAAAUUAUAUCUUAGCAAGUGAAAAUAGCUUGAAUAUGGGCAAAUUCAUCUAAUAGUUCUUAUUAUGAGAUGAUUUUAAAAACAAAUAUAUGAUUAUCAGGGGUGGACUUAGCACUAGGCAAAGCUAGGCAACCGGCAUGGGCCCCAGAAGCCAAGGGCCCCCUAAAAAUGCAAAUUAUAUAUAUUUUUAAUUAUUAAUGCUAAAUAAUGUAUGCUGAAAAUUUAAAUAUUGAUGUGUGCAAUUGAAUAGGACCCCUUUCCUAUAUUUUUCCUAGGGCCCCCAAAUCACUAAAUCCACCCCGAUGAUUAUUAAACCUAUAUCCAAACAUAUUGUACUAACUGCAAACUUGAAAUAGUCUUAUUCAUUUGGCAGAUAAUUUUUCUAAUUUUAAGCAUUUUUUUUCUAGAAAGAUGCAAAAUUAUCUGCCAAUAGAAUAAGAACAUUUAAAACUUGCAAUGAGUGAAAGCAUCUAAAAACAGGCUGAAUAAUCAUAUCUUUGAUUUAUAAUA